CGUACAUACUCCUAUCAUAUCCAGAACACCCCGUACAUGUCUUAAAGCCAUUCUUGAGUAUGAACCAAAAUAUGAAUUUAUGUGCAUAAAAUUUCAUGAUGAUCUUAGGUCUAAGGAUCACUUGCACAACUUUCACUUAAAGAACCAUCUUUAAUAUGCAAGUAAGGCUUCCAUAAGAUAUUCUCUUUCAUCGAGUCAAUUCAGUGGACUCAUUUCUCAAAUGAGC
rnacentral:lncRNA from 1 species